GACAGAGGGGGCAAGCGUUGCUCGGAAUUAUUGGGCGUAAAGAGCUCGUAGGCGGUCUGUCGCGUCGGAUGUGAAAAUCCAGGGCUCAACCCUGGACCUGCAUUCGAUACGGGCAGACUAGAGUUCGGCAGGGGAGACUGGAAUUCCUGGUGUAGCGGUGAAAUGCGCAGAUAUCAGGAGGAACACCGGUGGCGAAGGCGGGUCUCUGGGCCGAUACUGACGCUGAGGAGCGAAAGCGUGGGGAGCGAACAGG
rnacentral:rRNA from 1 species